rnacentral:rRNA from 1 species
AAUAGAUACCCAGGUAGUCCACGCCGUAAACGAUGAGUGCUAAGUGUUAGAGGGUUUCCGCCCUUUAGUGCUGCAGCUAACGCAUUAAGCACUCCGCCUGGGGAGUACGGCCGCAAGGCUGAAACUCAAAGGAAUUGACGGGGGCCCGCACAAGCGGUGGAGCAUGUGGUUUAAUUCGAAGCAACGCGAAGAACCUUACCAGGUCUUGACAUCCUCUGACAACCCUAGAGAUAGGGCUUUCCCCUUCGGGGGACAGAGUGACAGGUGGUGCAUGGUUGUCGUCAGCUCGUGUCGUGAGAUGUUGGGUUAAGUCCCGCAACGAGCGCAACCCUUGAUCUUAGUUGCCAGCAUUCAGUUGGGCACUCUAAGGUGAUUGCCGGUGACAAACCGGAGGAAGGUGGGGAUGACGUCAAAUCAUCAUGCCCCUUAUGACCUGGGCUACACACGUGCUACAAUGGAUGGUACAAAGGGCUGCAAACCUGCGAAGGUAAGCGAAUCCCAUAAAGCCAUUCUCAGUUCGGAUUGCAGG